UGGCGUUCUUUCGCGCUUCCUUUCCUCGCCGCGGCUGAGUGUCUCACUUUCUCUCUCUCCGCAUUUCUUGCCAUCCAACGCGCAAGCGCUCAGCGAUAUCGAUAAACCCCGUCGCCGCUGCCCACGCCUCUUCCUCGUGCUUGCUACUGCGCUAUACGCAGAGGGUUUCCUUCCAUGUUGCUGAGGCAGAACACGCCUCCUUUUUGCCCCUUACCCAACGGCUUUUACGCAUUCCCCUUGUGCUCUUCCUAUCAGGGAUGCUUUCUCGCAUUCUCGGCGAGCACUUGCGCGGUGGCGCGGCGGCAGCAUGCGUCUCCGCACGAUGCAGCGCAGCAUCACCAGCGAUCCGCUUGGGUAGACUGAACGCGUGUGGCCUUCCAGGUAGCCUGGCCGGUAGCAGCAGCGACAGCCGCAGCAGUUUCUCCCAAUGCGUCGCGGCAGCCCCUGUCUUCCUGGUCAGCUCGAAGCGGUUCGUUCAGUUUGAGCAGACGAGUGAGACGUUGCUCGGCAUCAACAAGAGCAAGCGUGCGAUGCACAACCGGUGGGUAACGAAGAGCACGAAGGAGUACAUGAGCGAGGCCGACUCGAAGGUCUCCAAGGGGAACAGCCUCCUCUUCGGUGCGCGCGAGCGUCGGCGCGAGGGCAUGGAAAAGCGGAAGGAACGCUUUCGCGAGGUGGCAGAGGAGACGGACCGCACAUUUGAGCUGGAGCUGGAGAGGAUGCGGGAUGACAAGGAUCGACGGUGGAAGAAGGGCUUCAACUUCUUUAAGCGACAAGGAAAGGCGUUUACGCUACUCUACAUCGUUGCGUACGUCGCACCCUUGGCGAUUCUCUACGUCGGCUUCGCCAGCGGACUGCUGCCGAAAGAUGCCGUCUUCGAGUUUCUCUUCUUCUUCUUGCAGACUUUCAUGGAUCGCGAGAUGUUUUUUGAGCGCGUCGAGGCGUGGGACACGUACUCGAACUUCGGCUUCGCGUUUGUCGUGAACGAGACGCUUGAGUUCUUGCGCUUCCCGCUGGUGAUGUUCUUCUUCUACCAGGCACGCCCGUUCCUGACAGGGGUGAACCAGCGCGUGAAGGCGUCCAUCUUUCGCUUCAACGCGGCGGAGUCGUAGAGAGGCGUUUCGCUUUAACGCUCUGUACGUGUGUGCACAAGCAGGCCCCACGUGUCUGUACGUUGGGGUAUGGUUUGUGUGUGUGUGUGUGUGUGUGCGUUUUUGAUGCGUGCGCGCUGGUGUGACGUUGGGCGGCGGCUGCCGCAGCCAACUUUUUUUUUUUUGCAGUUUUGCUCGCUGUGCUUUCGGUGGAUGUUUUUGUGUGGCGCUCCCUUCACAUGCCUCCUUUUUUUUUCCUCUAUCUCUCUUGACGUGUGUCUUCUCCCGCCCACAGCGUAAGUUUGCCUGUUUGCCUGCGCGUCCGUGCGCCUACGCAUGAGAGCGCACCCCCCUCUUCCACAGAGCGCCUCUGCAUCGGCUACGCAGACGUGUUUAACGGACGCGUGUGCACGCUCGUCCAGCUGCAUGUAGGGCGUUCCCCUUUACCCUAUCUGUACAGCAUUGGACUCGGCGUCAGAGAACGAACAAGAAUGUGCGCACAUGCCGUGCCACCACGCAGGUGACGCUUUUCAUACACAUGUUGCUGUUUGUGGUUUUGCAUCCGCCACCCGCUGCCUCUGCGCA
rnacentral:misc_RNA from 1 species